rnacentral:rRNA from 1 species
CUACGGGCCGCUGCAGUGGGGAAUAUUGGACAAUGGGGGCAACCCUGAUCCAGCGAUGCCGCGUGUGUGAAGAAGGCCUGCGGGUUGUAAAGCACUUUCAGUGGGGAGGAGGGCUUGAAGGUUAAGAGCUAUUAAGUUGGACGUUACCCACAGAAGAAGCACCGGCUAACUCCGUGCCAGCAGCCGCGGUAAUACGGAGGGUGCAAGCGUUAAUCGGAAUUACUGGGCGUAAAGGGUGCGUAGAUGGUUUGAUAAGUUAAGUGUGAAAGUCCCGGGCUUAACCUGGGGAGGUCACUUAAGACUGUUAGACUAGAGUAUAGGAGAGGGCAGUGGAAUUUCCGGUGUAGCGGUGAAAUGCGUAGAGAUCGGAAGGAACACCAGUGGCGAAGGCGGCUGCCUGGCCUAAUACUGACGUUGAGGCACGAAAGCGUGGGGAGCAAACAGGAUUAGAUACCCUCGUAGUC